rnacentral:ncRNA from 1 species
CAAUAUAUGGCAAAACCUUCAAAUUGCAUAAAGUUCUUAAAGGCAAAUCUACCAAAUUAAGACAGAAAUGUAGUUAAUGGAACAGGUUAUGACUCGUUAUAAGGUAAAAACGAUUUGUAUGAAGAAAUGAAAUAGAUAAUUUGCAACCAAAUUCUUAAUAAAUUAAAGAAUGCAGUUCAUCGGCUAAAUGGAGGUUGGUUAAUAAUUAGGUUAUAAAAAAUUAUUAAUUUAAGAUAUAGUCAAGUUGUAUUAGAAAUAAUACA